UACGGAGGAUGCGAGCGUUAUCCGGAUUUAUUGGGUUUAAAGGGAGCGCAGACGGGUCGUUAAGUCAGCUGUGAAAGUUUGGGGCUCAACCUUAAAAUUGCAGUUGAAACUGGCAUUCUUGAGUGCGGCAGAGGCAGGCGGAAUUCGUGGUGUAGCGGUGAAAUGCUUAGAUAUCACGAAGAACUCCGAUUGCGAAGGCAGCUUGCUGGAGCGUAACUGACGUUGAUGCUCGAAAGUGUGGGUAUCAAACAGG
rnacentral:rRNA from 1 species